ACACACAUAUCUACAUACAUACAGAGGUGAGGUCUUGCCUAUAUUGCCCAGGCUGGUCUCGAACUCCUGGGCUCAAGCGAUCUUCCCACCUCGACCCCCCAAAAUGCUGGGAUUACAGGGGUGAGCCACCGCACCGGGCCGAAUCCCUCUCUUGACACGUCACCUCCCCACCAAAGGCAGUUGUCCUUUCUGACUUCAAACACCGUGCCUUUGUUUUGUCUGGGCGUGGACAUGAUAUAAAUGGAAUCAUUCAUGUUCUUUUGUGUCUUCUUUUGCUUAACAUAAUCAGUUUGAAAUGCAGCCACAUUGUUGAGUGGAUGCAUGGGCUGUCCUGUUGGCGGUGGUGGUGGUGAGUGGAAUUCCAUUGUAUGACUAUAGCUCAGUCUGUGAUUCCAUUUUCCUGUGGAUGGACCCACAGGCUGUUUCCCAUGUCGGGCUAUCUAAGAAUCAGGUGCCUUGCGUUUCUGACGGCUGGACUGGAGGUGUCUUCCUCUGGGGUAGGCUCUGCAGGGCCACCUGCUGGACCAUUUUGGGGCAUGACCACUGACGUUCACCUCCCCAUUUGUCCCCAUCAGUGAGCCCCAUGCCCGUUUCUACGCGGCCCAGAUCGUCCUGACCUUUGAGUAUCUGCACUCGCUGGAUCUCAUCUACAGGGACCUGAAGCCGGAGAAUCUGCUCAUUGACCAGCAGGGCUACAUUCAGGUGCCCACCAGGCCGGGCGAGGGGCAGCCCUGGGGAAGCCGUGGCCUGGACCCUUCCUCCCUGCCAACUGCCUGUUCUUGUGCCCACAGGUGACAGACUUCGGUUUCGCCAAGCGCGUGAAGGGCCGCACUUGGACCUUGUGCGGCACCCCUGAGUACCUGGCCCCUGAGAUUAUCCUGAGCAAAGUAGGAGCCUCCCCAGCCCUCCCCUUCCCCUGAGGCCGGCUCUGCUCUCCUGCUCUCGCCUCCUCCUCACCCUGUGCCCCCCCAUCUUGCUCCAGGGCUACAACAAGGCCGUGGACUGGUGGGCCCUGGGGGUUCUUAUCUAUGAAAUGGCCGCUGGCUACCCGCCCUUCUUCGCAGACCAGCCCAUCCAGAUCUAUGAGAAGAUCGUCUCUGGGAAGGUGAGGUCCGGAUGUGGGGACACAGCCCUGGAAGAAACAGACCGUUCCCUGCUCACCCAUCCUAUUCCCUGGGGAGCCCUGCUUGUUGUCAGAAUAAUCUAGAAGUUCCUUAAGUCAGGCCAGGUGGUGAAGCUGGACGCGCCGGCCACACUGAGGCCAACACCUCAAGCCCCCUUGCUGUCCAGCCCCAACCCCGCGGUUCCAGAAUCCCAUGGGCUUCCAAAAUCCCGAGCCUCACGGGAACAUCUUGGCCACAGAACACAAACCGCCCUGCCAGACGACCCUCCUUUUCGCUCCUCAUCCCAGUUAGUGUGAGUUUUCGCAAAUUCCAAGGCAGAAAAACGAAUGUAUUUGGUUCCUGUUCCCAGGUGCUGUCCAUAGCCUCACCCAGGAUUGCCCUCACUUAGCAUUUAUAGCCCAUGCUUCCUCUCCCAAACCCAGACUUGCCUAACUCUGAGGGUUCAGAUGAGGGGUGGUGAAGCCAUCUCAGCUCACAUCUAUGACAGGUGCAAAGUGCCCACCAUCCACCAGGCCCCAGAAUCCCCAUCAGUCACACCCUGAGAUAGUGGCACCCUCUGUAGGAGAGGUGAGGAAACAGGCUGGGAAAAGGGAUGUGUCUUGGCCAAGAUCACACUUUGGUGAGUAGGUAAUCACCGUAGGCAAUCAUUGUAGGCACUGAUGGCCGGAGAGAGGUUGGGGACCCCACCUCUGCCCUCAGCUCAACCACCUUGCUGGGAAGACCCGACCAUCCCCCGACUUGGUCCAGCAUCUCCUACACAGGAGCUUUUGGUUGGCCCGGAGUCAUGACACUGUGGUGGGAGCACCCUCAGGCUCAGCCUGGGCCCCAGUCCCAGCUCUGCCACCGACUGGCUUUGAAACUUUGGGGCUGGGUACAAUGGCUCACACCUGUAAUGCCAGCACCUUGGGAAGUGGAGGCUUGAGGCCAGGAGUUCCAGACCAGCCUGGGCAACAUAGCCAGACCCCAUCUCU
rnacentral:lncRNA from 10 species